AGAUGAGGUUGCUGGGAAGGCUUCUCCAUCAGCUUGGAUGAAUAAAGUUUUGAAGCCCUUGGAGCCUCCUGCAGAUGUGUCUACAGGGAGGACUUCUCCAGCUUCUCCAGCUCCUACCUUGGAUGCUAUACGCAAGCCCAGCUCCCAUCACAGUGGUACUCCAACAGGGAAAGUCCAAGAUACAACAGAUACGAUGUCCCUGCAACCAUCCAAACAGAUGAGGCAAGAGCUGAAGGAACCCCUGCAGACAAGAGAAG